rnacentral:rRNA from 1 species
AGAGUUUGAUCAUGGCUCAGAUUGAACGCUGGCGGCAUGCCUUACACAUGCAAGUCGAACGGUAACAGGUUAAGCUGACGAGUGGCGAACGGGUGAGUAAUGUAUCGGAACAUGCCCAGUCGUGGGGGAUAACUACUCGAAAGAGUGGCUAAUACCGCAUACGACCUGAGGGUGAAAGCGGGGGACCGUAAGGCCUCGCGCGAUUGGAGCGGCCGAUAUCAGAUUAGCUAGUUGGUGGGGUAAAAGCCCACCAAGGCGACGAUCUGUAGCUGGUCUGAGAGGACGACCAGCCACACUGGGACUGAGACACGGCCCAGACUCCUACGGGAGGCAGCAGUGGGGAAUUUUGGACAAUGGACGCAAGUCUGAUCCAGCCAUGCCGCGUGCGGGAAGAAGGCCUUCGGGUUGUAAACCGCUUUUGUCAGGGAAGAAACGAGUUUCUCUAAUACAGAGACUUAAUGACGGUACCUGAAGAAUAAGCACCGGCUAACUACGCGCCAGCAGCCGCGGUAAUACGUAGGGUGCAAGCGUUAAUCGGAAUUACUGGGCGUAAAGCGUGCGCAGGCGGUUAUGCAAGACAGAGGUGAAAUCCCCGGGCUCAACCUGGGAACUGCCUUUGUGACUGCAUAGCUAGAGUACGGCAGAGGGGGAUGGAAUUCCGCGUGUAGCAGUGAAAUGCGUAGAUAUGCGGAGGAACACCGAUGGCGAAAGCAAUCCCCUGGGCCUGUACUGACGCUCAUGCAAGAAAGCGUGGGGAGCACACCAGUGAUGAGAUACUUUGUUACUCCACCCGCAUACGAGAUCUCAAUUAGUUGUGGGGUUUUAAUUGAUUUUCGUAACGCAGUUAUCGCGUGAAUUUGACCGUCUGGGGAGUACGGUCGCAAGAAUAAAUCUCAAAGGAAUAGGGGGGGCCCCGCACAAGCGGUAGAGGAUGUUGAAUUUUGAGACGAAUUGAGAACCCCUUACUCUCCCCUUGACAUGGCCGGAAUCGUGAAGAGAUUUGGGAGUGCCCGCAAGAGAACUUGCACACAGGUGUCCAUGGCGUUCGUCAGCUCGUGUCGUGAGAUGUUGGGUUAAGUCCCGCACCGAGCCCAACCUUUGCCAUUUGUUCCUAGGAAAGGGCACUUUAAUGAGACUGCGGGUGACAACCGGGAGGAAGGUGGGGAUGACGUCAAUUCUUCAUGCCCUUUCUGGGUAGGGAUACACACUUCAUACAAGGGUACAUACAGAGGGCUGCCAAUCCGAGAGGGGGAGAUAACCCCAGAAACGGUCGUAUUCCGGAUCGUAGUUGCAACUCGACUUCGUGAAGUCGGAAUCGCUAGUAAUCGCGGAUCAGCUUGCCGCGGUGAAUUCGUUCCCGGGUUUUGUACACACCGCCCGUC